rnacentral:rRNA from 1 species
AUUGAACGCUGGCGGCAUGCCUUACACAUGCAAGUCGAACGGUAACGGGCCUUCGGGUGCCGACGAGUGGCGAACGGGUGAGUAAUACAUCGGAACGUGCCCGAUCGUGGGGGAUAACGAGGCGAAAGCUUUGCUAAUACCGCAUACGAUCUACGGAUGAAAGCAGGGGACCGCAAGGCCUUGCGCGGACGGAGCGGCCGAUGGCAGAUUAGGUCGUGGGUGGGAUAAAAGCUUACCAAGCCGACGAUCUGUAGCUGGGCUGAGAGGAUGAUCAGCCACACUGGGACUGAGACACGGCCCAGACUCCUACGGGAGGCAGCAGUGGGGAAUGGUGGACAAUGGGCGCAAGCCUGAUCCAGCCAUGCCGCGUGCAGGGUGAAGGCCUUCGGGUUGUAAACUGCUUUUGUGCGGAACGAAAAGCCUUCUUUUAAUACAGGAGGGUCAUGACGGUACCGUAAGAAUAAGCACCGGCUAACUACGUG